rnacentral:lncRNA from 1 species
CCACUGCAUGUUCUGAGACAGUGUGGGGUGCUAAGACAAAGAAGGUUAUGGGUGUGGAUGGGGGGUGGACAAAGCUUGGUCCCAUCAGUUAACAGGGUCUUGCAGGAGGCUCUGUAUGCCCCAGGGUACCGACCAGAUCCCCAGGUUCCAGCCAGAAGCCAUGCCCCAGGCUGGACCCUCAUCUCUCAUGUACAGGGCAGCCUGGCAGCCAGCGGUGGGCUGAGCUUCCAGCACCGGUGGGUUUGAACUGGCCUUGUGGUCCAAGGCAGCUCUGAGCAGGAUUGGGACAGGUCCCCUGGAGAGGUCAGAGGGGCCUCUGUGGGUGCUGGGUACUCCAGAGGUGCUGCUGGUGGAAGGAUCCCUGUGGCCCCAGUAAGGAGGGAGGGGCCCGCUCCGCUAUUUUUGGUCCCUGGGUUGGGAAGGACGAGAGCUAGAGCAGGGACCAAGUGGACAGAAAGUGUCAGCCUGAGAUCAGGGCUU